ACCUCUCUCCUUGGCUUGCAGAGGACAGACUUCACUGUGUAAUCAGAUAAUCUGCUGCUGACUAACUUAAUGAACCGAACAGAUUAAAAUGGUGCAAGAGAAAAGGGCAUUUUUACACAAAAGGAAGCAUUUUCUGUGUUCCAGUUCAGCUGUUCCAAUGACAUUUGGUGGUGUUAUCAGUGUGAAUUAUACAAGCAAGUUUCUUUAUCCAGACUGACGCAUCAACCAUGAUCUAGCAUUUGCAAGAUGUGUAAUUACUUUGACUUUCAAGAAAACAUCUUCUGAUCUAAGGAACUUCCCAAGAUAUCAAAGCUGGCUGGCUCAGGAAUACUCUCACAGUGAUGGCAGAAGAGCAAAUCUGGAAGUUCAAACACUCAAAUGUGUUGUUGGAUUUCUGCAUGCAUCACAUGGGCUAACAACUGGUCAAAGCAAAUCACAUGGCCAAACUAAAAAUCAAAGGCCUGGAAGAAAGUUCACAGAAUGUUGAGCCAUUCUCCAAGCAAUUGUGUUCGACAGGACAACUUAGGAAUCAAAUUAGAAAGGCUGCACCUUGCCAUAACCAUGCGUCAUCUGGUGCUGCCUUUUCUGGACAGCACACACCCACACAAAAUGCUGGAGACUCUCAUACUGGCAGUUUAGUUCUUCAAAC
rnacentral:lncRNA from 1 species